CAGAACUGUACCGUUAGGACCACCUUAAAAUUCUCUGCUUCUGCAAAAUAGAAAAUGUGGCUCUAGUAAACUUUAAAUGGGCCAAAGCUCGUAUGGCCACUUCAUUGUGUCUAAGUUUAGCCCUCACUCCUUAGUGACUUUCUAAUGACACUGUGGUGGAGUGUCAGAGGAGCUGAACCCUCUUGGGGUCCCCCGCAGUGCCCCGCUAAAGUGGGCACCUGGGCACAGAUGGGCUGGAUGGGCACUGGCCCUGGUUGUCAGCCAUCUUUGUCAGGCUGGAUGAUGGAGCUGAGUCUAUCUGAGCACCAACCAGAGCUGUGCCAAGCUCCCAGCAGGCUCCCAGGAUGCAACAGAACUAAUGGCCACCAUGAGGAUUCAUCUGCUGUGGAGAGCACUAACACAUCCACUUCCUGGUGCUGCAUGGGUCCCGGCAUAGAGUCUAAAGUCCACGUGCUGGAGAACAGGACGGCGUCGCUGAAGUGCUGCUGGUCAGAGGUGAUUGAUCAGGAGGAAGAGUGUUGUAAUGGAGUGGGCUUCAAUCCGCUCACAUCUGUGUGUGCUGACAGAGCCCCGGCCAGCAUCCUCAUCCCGCCCGCUACAGUCCAUCUGUACAUGGGUACCAGGCGAGCCGGUCCCUGCGCAUGUUCCAUCUCCCUCUGCUACUGCUGCCACCCAAACAGAAGGUCCUUCUGCAGCUGCCCACAGACAGUUCUGCCCAUCCUCAGAGGAGCU
rnacentral:lncRNA from 12 species